UUCUAAAUGUUUAGUCGGAAUCUCCUUUCUUGCAACUUGAAGCCAUUGGUCCUUUCAUCCAGAGCAGGAGAAAUCAAGCAUGCUCCCUCCUCCAUGUGACAGCCCUUCAUAUAUUUGAAGAUGGCUAUCAUAUCUCCUCUCAGUCUCCUCUUUUCCAGGCUAAACAUACCCAGCUCCUUCAAGC